ACGGGGUGCAGCAGGCGCGAAACCUCUGCAAUGCACGCAAGUGUGACAGGGGAACCCCAAGUGUCCAAGUACUACUUGGACUUUUACGGAGUGUAAAAAGCUCUGGGAAUAAGGGCUGGGCAAGACCGGUGCCAGCCUCCGCGGUAAAACCGGCAGCUCUAGUGGUAGUCGCUUUUAUUGGGCUUAAAGCAUCCGUAGCCUGUCUGGAAAGUCCUUUGUGAAAUCCUGUUGCUUAACGACAGGAAUUGCAGGGGAUACUUCCCGACUUGGAGCCGAAAGGGGCUAGGGGCAUUCCUAGGGUAGCGGUGAAAUGUUAUAAUCCUAGGAGGGUCACCAACGGCGAAGGCACCUAGCUAGAACGGGCUCGACGGUGAGGGAUGUAAGCUAGGGGAGCAAACAGGAUUAGAUACCCUGGUAGUCCUAGCCGUAAACGAUGCGGACUAAGUGUUUCAUGAUCGUCAGGACCAUGAAGUGUUGAAGGGAAACCGUUAAGUCCGCCGCCUGGGAACUACGGUCGCAAGGCUGAAACUUAAAGGAAUUGGCGGGGGAGCACCACAAGGGGUGGAGUCUGCGGUUCAAUUGGAUACAACGCCGAGAAACUUACCAAGGGCGACGGCAGGAUGAAGGUCAAGCUA
rnacentral:rRNA from 1 species